rnacentral:lncRNA from 1 species
UCAAGAUAGUUGAGUCUCCAAUUAGAAACUCUGAGUAGCUGUAAACUUGCAUUAAAAAAGGAUUCCAGUGGAAAAAUAUGUUGAUCCAACCAUGACUUCUACUGGCAAAUGCUACUUUAUCUAAAAUAUACAGAUUUCAGUGCUCAGAAAGUGCAAACAAUUUGUACAUUGAGAAAUCUAUCUUGGCAUUCAGUUUAUAACAUAACAAGGAAUGAGAGCUUUGACAAGCUUUUACACUUGGUCAGAUUUUGCAUGCAUGAUUUGUCAGAUUGUAAUGUCAUGAUUUGUCAAUGACUGAAUGUUUUCAGCAGGCUGAUGUACAAAACCUGAAAAAUAAAUUCAGUUAAAGCAGAAGUGCAGAGUGUAUGUAACAGAAAAUUCAGCUAUAGAAGAAGCGCAGAGUGUAUGUAACAAAAAAUUCAGUUAUACUAAAACCUGAAUGUUUUCAAUAUGCUGCUGUACAGUGUAUAUGCAUAUUUUCAGACUAUCACUGAAAAUAUGCAGUGUAUGCAUAUUUGAAGAGUACUCAAAUGUUCCGAAAAUAAGAUGUGAGACCAAUGCAUAGAUAGUCCAAUGCCGAGACCAAUAAAAUUUAGCUAACACUGGACAGAGAUGUCUCCUUGCAACAAUCUCUACAGAAAAUUCUUGUACUCAUCUUAGCUCUUAGCUAACACUGGACGCUGGAGUAGUUUCAAUUUCUAAAAGAAUGGGGUGCAGUACAAGAACUAAGAAACCUCUGCACACCAUCCAGAAGCAUUUUUAAGUCUGCCGUCAUCAGUUUGUCGUCAUAGGAGUUUAUGUCUGCCGUCAUCAGUCUGCCGUCAUGGGAAAUGUCUUACUUGCUUACAAUGUCUUACUUUCGCUUGGAAGGCUAAGCUGUUGCUUCAUAGCAUCCAGAAGCACUUUUGUUGGGAUCCCGACUUUUCCCAUGACGGCAGACUGAUGACAGAAAGUAAGACAUUGUAAGCAAGUGUUGGAAGCUUUACAACGUAUGAUUGGACAUGUGUCUGUAUAUCUAUCAAUUUUUGGUGACAAAAAACAUCGCUGAUAAAUAUCCGUGAUAGUGGUUGAAUUUGCAUUUUAUUUGUACAAACUUAAACUCCUAUGUUUUAGACAGGGCAUGUAUGCUAGUUAGGUAAGAUAUGUGUUAAAUUGUUCUUUGACGUUAGUUUUAGGAUGCCCAGUGUAGUUCAGUUGAUACAUGCAUAUAUGUGUUGUGUAGGUUUCCGGUUAACCUUUUUAUUCUAAUAACAGGUCAUCCACUUUAAAAGUAAUUUCCUUGGUAGCUUCAGUUCAGUUCUGUACAUACAUGAGUGUUUCUUCCUUCAAUUUACAUGAGAACAAAAUAAUCCAUGCGAAAAAAAACUGAGAACAACAAGGUUUAGCUUGCUGCAAUUGUAGAUUAUAUAUGCAUGUACGUACUAUCUCUAAUGCACCAAGAAAAUAGCAUAUUAACAUGUAUGAGCAUGUACAAAUUGAUUAUUCAUGUGUUGAUUAGGAAGCAUGCACACAAUAAGGACUAAUAACUCGAUCAAGGAAGAAACUUCAUUUCCUUAAUAGCAUUUGGCAGAUUAAGCUAUAGAAUAAAAAAUGAAGUACCAUCAGGCUGAUCUCUAAUUUUCACUGAACUAACACAAACACUUUUUACGCACUAUUACUGUCCAUUUGGAGUACUAUUUGUAAGUGAAUCUUUAUCUACUGCUGUACAGAAGCUAACUUGAAUUAGGUCGGAUGAAUUAGAUACUUCUGCCAUUGCCAUGAACAGAUCAAUAUGGCAUGCGUAGUAUACUGUCACUUCUGCUUCAGAAGUAAAACUUUUCUAUCUUUGAUCAUGUCUCUAAGAAAAGUAUUAAGGGAAACCAGCUAUGAGGAAAAAUAAAUGACCAAAUUCAGAAGUGUGUGCUUCAGGUACCUUUCGGCAACGACAUCACCUGGUCUCUGAAGAACACAUCCAACUCAUCCUGCUAUCCUACUACUGUGCCACCCCAAGCCUGAAAUCCUCGAUGCUCCAUCCAACCUCUGCAUGGCAGUAAGGCAAAACCAAGAUCGAUGUCAUGAUAAAGCUUUCAAAAAAAAAUCAGUGUUCUUAACUAAUGAAUUACAAAAAUAGGUGCAAGCUUAUAUGAACAAUUUAGCAUCAAACCCUUAAGCAUUUGAACUAACAUGUCCAUCCCAUAAAACUAAAAUGUGUUGAACCUUGGCGCUGGCAGAACCUAUUUCAUGACAAAACAAUCAUGAAAUUCUAUCAGGUGAUUGCAGGAGAUUGUACAUAACCACAAGAAGUAAAAGAUGAUAUUCUAUUGUAUCCAACUAACCGAAUAAUCGAGCAGACUAACGGGAUGGAGAGGCAUAUACGGCAUCAGGUACAUUGACGGUCACAGCUAGCGACGCUUGUGUGGGAAGUUGUGGUCGCUGCUACCAGUACAGCAGCUGUGUUGUCGGAGGAACUGGUGGUGCGCUGUACACGUCAUUCUGCGGCUCAAAUCUUCUUGAGAUAGGUCAGAGGCAUCUAGGUAAUAAGAGAAAAAUAGAGAAAAAAUAAGAUGGUGAUUUGGUUAAUUGAAAGGAGCCAUAGUUUGCAGGGAAGGGAGACGCGUUUGCAACUCGGCGCUCACCCUCAGCAUAGCCGUCAGGUAGCAAGAAUUUGUGCACGUGCCUGGAUCCUCUUAUUCCCAUAUCAUCUACUCCCUAUUCCCCAUACCGCCACAUCCACGAGCUAUAGAUAUUUGGGGGAGCAGACCACUACUGCUUCUAUGCUGAAGGUACUACAACUGGUAAAACGACAUCAUGAAUUAAAUUUUAUGAAGAAAAGUAACCUUUAGCAAAAGAAGGUAUUUAGUCUAUGCAGAAAUCAUACUACUGUAAAAUACAUGAUAAAUAUAUGAUAAUGCCUAGUCGAACUGAUGCAUCUGGGAGCUACAAAUGGCAAUAGGACAGUACCAAAAGGACAUACUAUUCAAUUCCAGUCUCUAGAGAACAAAAUCACAUUGCUCCUAUUUUUUCUUAAAAUAAUAAAACAGUACUAAAGAGCCGAUAUUUAGAAUCUGAGCGCUCACCAUUUAAAUGAGAAUCUAAGCAAAAUAUGGGAGUGCAUGGAGGUCACCAUUUAAGUCAAAUAGGUAAAAUCAACCUUCAUAACAAUGAAAUAGAAAUUCUAUUUGGAAAGGGUGUUUCCGGGAGCUUCCCACCACUCUGCUUAAUGAACAGGACGAUAUUGUCCUGAAUCAUCAGCUAAAACAUUGUUAACUGGUCAUUAUUGCUAACUCAAAAGAGAACUGAAGUACAUAUAGUGUAUUCAGCAAACCCAAAUUAUAAGGGUGCAGUACAGAAAAAUUGUAUGCCAAACGGAUUAGAAGUUAUAUGCAAAUAUUAAGAUAAUUACACUUGUCGGGGCCGAAUGGAGAGUCAGCAAGAGGUAGCAGCGCGUUUGUUGACUUUGAUGCACCUAGGCAUGUAUGUCAGCUCCAAGAAUGAAGUACACCACCUGCUAACCUAACGGCGCCACUCUUCCAAGGUUGGUGUUUCCACGCCAAUAGUCAUCAUAUCUCUAAUACUUG